GUUUCGAAGAGACGGCAACCACACGUACACGUAAGUACUUACAUCGGUGAUGUUGCUUCUGAAAGCAUAAUGGGAAUGCACCAACCGAUGAAGAUGCUUCAGAUCUAGACGAGACUCGUCGACGGCCAGCUGAAGGCCAGACGGUAUUUUCGCCGUUGCGUCGUACACUUUAAAGAGUAAUAAGAGAAUUAUUGGAAACGACGAUCACAGGGAGGAAACCACGACGAAUACAUAUUUCUCGUUCUCUUCUUUGUUUCUCUUCGCUUUGAUGUCGCCUCGUGACCGACGAGGAAUAUUUCAAAAUCAGCCGAACCUUACAGCUGCGGACAAUGGCUCCUUCGCGUGAUUUGCGAGCAUAUUUGGCAACUUUAAUAAAAAUGCUGUAAGACACGAUGUACCGGCUACCGUCGAUGUUCGAUGAUAAGAAGAGUGUUUGAAUAUUUUUAAAAUUGAGAUUGCGGAACGUGGACGAGAAGAUUUAUUGAAAUUCAAUCGUCUCAUGAAUAAUGCGGUUCCUCCGAGAAUGAUGUAACGAAGUAAUAAAGCUGCAAAGAAGAUACGCUUA